rnacentral:rRNA from 1 species
AUUGAACGCUGGCGGCAGGCCUAACACAUGCAAGUCGAGCGGAUGAAGGGAGCUUGCUCCUUGAUUCAGCGGCGGACGGGUGAGUAAUGCCUAGGAAUCUGCCUGGUAGUGGGGGAUAACGUCCGGAAACGGGCGCUAAUACCGCAUACGUCCUGAGGGAGAAAGGGGGGGAUCUUCGGACCUCACGCUAUCAGAUGAGCCUAGGUCGGAUUAGCUAGUUGGUGGGGUAAAGGCCUACCAAGGCGACGAUCCGUAACUGGUCUGAGAGGAUGAUCAGUCACACUGGAACUGAGACACGGUCCAGACUCCUACGGGAGGCAGCAGUGGGGAAUAUUGGACAAUGGGCGAAAGCCAGAUCCAGCCAUGCCGCGUGUGUGAAGAAGGUCUUCGGAUUGUAAAGCACUUUAAGUUGGGAGGAAGGGCAGUAAGUUAAUACCUUGCUGUUUUGACGUUACCAACAGAAUAAGCACCGGCUAACUUCGUG